AUGGUUUUAAAAACAGAAGUCUCCCUCACAAGCUCUCUUCUCUUAUCUGCUGCCAUGUGAGACGUGUCUUUUACCUUCUGCCAUUAUUGUGAGGUCUUCCCAGCCACGUGGAACUGCACACACAGCAAGGAACUGAAGAAGUCUUCUGGCCCACAGGUCAUCAGCAACUGAGGCCUCAGUACAGCCAGCAAGGAAGUGAAUCUUGUUAACAGUCAUGUGAAUCAGAGGUGAAGAAAAGAAGUCUUCCAGGAAAGAUACUUAUGUACAGCUAAGUCAUAUGGAAAUAGUACCCUUUGGUUCUCUCUCUUCCCUUUUUUUACUUAUCUGAAAUGAAAAUAUGAGGACUGAACUUCGACUCUAUCUUGGGUGACAAGAAGAACUGAAGUAGGAAGGAAUCCUAUGCUAAGGAUGAGAGAGAAAUAAGACAGCCCACACUCCACUCCCUUCCCCCAACACCAAAUGUGAGCCUAUCAUUCAACCCACAGAAGACUUUUUAUAAAUGAGAGAGAAAUGAAUCUCUAAUGUGUUCUUGCAGCUUAUUUGCUUUUUUAUUUUAGGAAUUGAAUCUUAUUCUAAACUGAUACAGUGUCUCUAUUUACUUUGCUUUGGUGUCCUAAGUAGAAACUAUAAAUACUAUUUAGACUUAUUGCAAUAGGCAAAGGGCAUAUUUUAAAUCAUAUUAUGGAUAUCUGCAACUGUGUAUCUUUUAGUUUUACAGCAUGUAUUGUCAUAGUUAUUAUUGUAAUCAUAAUGCACUGAAACUUUACAUCAUUUUCAACCAUAUACUAAUAGCGAAAUAACAUAAAUAUGUUAUUUUCUCUUUCUCUGCUCCUCUCCGUAUCUAUGUAUUUACUUCCUUUAUAUUAUUCUUAACUUCUUAGGUGAGGAACAAUGCUUUAAAUGACCAUGGACUUCUUAUCAGACAUUUAUGACAGCCAGAAGACCAUGGAACAGCAUCUCAAAAGUACUAAAGGAGAGCCACAAAACCAGAAUUCUAUAUCUAGCAAAAAUAUAUUUCAGAAAUGAAGACAAAAUAAGAAAAUUAUCAGGUGAAGGUAAACCAGAAAUAUUUACUGUUGACAUAUCUAAAAGAAAUGUUAAAAGAAGUUUUUUAGGCUAGAGGGAAAUAACUAACACCAGGGGGAAAUAUGAACCUUCAGGAAUAAAGAAAGAACAACAUAAAUGGUAAAUAUCUAGAUAAACAUAAAAGAUAAUUUUUCUACUUUUAGUUUUUAAAAAAUAUGUAUAACUCUUGAAAGAAAACAUUCUUAUCUGGUGGAGUUUUCAAUGUACAUGAAUGUAAUAUAUAUGACAACUAUAACAUAGAAGCCACUAGGGGAUAGUAAAAUGAUGUAUGGGACUAUAAGUAUUUUACAUCUUACUUGAAAUAUUAAGUUAUUAACUCAAGAAAGUGUGAUAAUUUAGGCACAUAUAUUGCAAUCCCUAGGAAAAAAUACAAAAAUAUAAAAAGGUUACAGAUAGGAAGCCCACAAAUUAAACAGUAUACUAAAUACUUACAAAAAAAGGAGAAAAUGAGAAGUAGAGGCACAAAGUAAGAAUAUGCACUAUAUAGAAUAUACUAUUUGAAGUACUAGCCCAUAAGUUCUAGCCCAUAAAAUUAAGUCCGUGAUGUGAGAAAAUUUUGGCUUAAGAGAAAAUGGAGUAAGCCACAGAGUAGAAGAUUCAGUGCAGAUGAGUGAACCCUUAAAAUGAUGUAGAAGAGAGAAGCUGAAUUGGGUAGACAGUAAAUUACAAUGAACAAAUAGAAUACUGCCUUUGUUUACUAUCAUUCAAAGUAUUAUAUGUUACAUAGUAUUACUUGAAAAUGCUAUGAACCAUGGAAGUGGAUUUUUCCAAAUCAUAGAAUUCACUAAUCUAACAAUUAUGGCAUUUAUAAAUACUAUUGAUAAUAUUAGUAAACAUUUUUAAUACAGUUUUUAUCAUAUAAACAUUUUGGUACAUGUUAUUUCUUUUAAGUGCCAAUAGUUUUUGUAUUUUAACUGCAUAUGGCAAAGUAUUUUCCUAAAAUAUUAGAACAUUUAUCAAUGGUGCAUACUUUACCUCUUCGUAAAGUUAAGUUAAUGCUCUAAUUUUUAAAAAUGUUCCCAUUAGGGCACCAAUUGUAGGAUGGAGUGGAAUAAAAUGAUAAUCUCAGAAACUUUUGCCUCUAUACUUUGUCUCCUUCCUAUGUGUCUGCCUCCAGCGACUGUAGGCCAUUUGAAGAUUACUAUUGCUGCUAUUCUGGUUACCUAGAAAAUGAGACAGAUUAUAAGGCCUAUGAAAAGACUUAACUUUGUUUAUGUAGAAUUUUCAUUAAAUUUGCUAAAGGGAAGUGCCUAAGGAGGUUUCCUGUCUUUAGCAAAUAUAUUUAUUGGUGACCAGAUCCUUUUUUGCCUUACCUUCACAGUUAUUUCUCUAACAUCUGAGGUUUUGGUAGUCUGAUUUUUAGCUAAGUAUGAUAUUUAAUUCAAUUAAAAGUCUAUAUUCAUUAAAGAAGGCUUACAUUAAGAAGAAUGAAGUUCUAAUUUAUUUUCAUCCAUCUAUAUAUAUUAUUGUUGUGUUAUAUAACUAAAAUCUUACUAUUAUAGAUUUUUUUUCUUCUAGCUUAAAAGUUCCAAGUGUUCUAUCUUAGUAAUAUGAUUUAUUCUGGAGGAGAGGGAUGUUGUAACAAAUACUUUCCAGUACAAACUAAGAUAUUUGCAUUUUCAAGUUUUGUAUUAGAAGCAGUUUUGAGUCUUAGUAGUCUUAUAAAAUUAUGAUUAAGUGACCAACAAGUAUAAAUUUUGAGUCACAGAUAUUUAAUUACAGUCGAGUUAAAAGAAGAAAGAAAAUGAAAUAAUUGGAAAAAGAUCUUUCACAGGAAGAAUGUCUUAUUGUUAGUACGGAAGAGAAAUAAAAUGAGAAAGAGAGGAAGGGAGGAAGAAGCUAGAUAUUUAUUUAUUUACGUAUUUAUUUAUUUAGAGAUGGAGUCUCGCUCUGUUACCCAGGAUGGAGUGCAAUGGUGCAAUCUCAGCUCACUGCAUCCUCCGCCUCCCAGGUUGAAGCAAUUCUCCUGCCUCAGCUUCCCAAAUACCUGGGAUUACAAGCAUACGCCUCCACGUCCGGCUAAUUUUUUGUGUUUUUAGAAGAGGCAGGGUUUCAUCAUGUUGGCCAGGCUAGUCACGAACUCCUGACCUCAAGUGAUCUGCCUGCCUCAGCCUCCCAAAGUGCUGGGCUUACAGGCAUGAGCCACUGCACCGGGCCUGAUUUCUUUUUUGUGUGUGUGAAAGUAGGAAUGGAGAGCAAUCACCAAGAAAUCCGAAAUGACAUCCAGACAGCAAGUAAUGCCAACUCUGACAAACCACUGCUGUGAUCAGAGUUUGCACCUCUUUAAGAUUUCAGAUGUUGAUUCUUUCUUCAUGCAUAUUCCCAUUAGAACAUUUAUCACUGAUACAUAUUUCCUAAUAGCUAAAAGUUUACUCAUUACCAGAGAUUGAUGGAGAAAACAAUGUUACAAUUAAGAAAAGAUCUUGGACCUGUCAUAAGAAAAGAGACACCAUUUGGAAUAAGAAGACCAAGAAUAUGCCAUUUACUGCCUUCAAGAGCCUUGAGAAACUGCAUAAAGCAGUCUUAGGAGGAUGAAUUCAAAUAAUGGCAAUAUUGCAUAAUAAUGUUAUUUUUAAAAGAUUAAAAGAAAUUCUGCCUACUGCAUCAUUUAUUAUUAAACUGUAUAUUAAGACUUUCUAAAUUUGCUUCCCUAAGAUAGAGUGAUAUUCAAUCAUUUUUGCUUUAAUGAAUAAAGUCCAUCUUUAAUAAGUAAUUGCAAGUGGGAGAGAAUCGGGCCUUUUUAGGUCAAAUAUACUUGAGACAUGAGGGUUCACAAAAUCUGACUAUGGAGAAUUUGCAUGAUAGGGUUCACUGUGCAACAGAAAGCAGAAGUUUCUAUCAAUGGAUAAAAUGAAAAGCAAGAUUGUGUCACAGAUUUUUUGUUUCUUUGCUGCUAUAUAAUGCCAUACUCCCCUCUGACCCUCUUCCAAAGUAUCCCCAGGGUAGACUAUACUAACGAGAUCCUUUUUCAGCAAAAGAAAGUCAGGCACUAUUCACAAUAGCAAAGACUUGGAACCAACACAAAUGUCCAAAAAUGAUAGACUGGAUUAAGAAAAUGUGGCACAUAUACACCAUGGAAUACUAUGCAGCCAUAAAAAAUGAUGAGUUCAUGUCCUUUGUAGGGACAUGGAUGAAGCUGGAAACUAUCAUUCUCAGCAAAUUAUCGCAAGGACAAAAAACCAAACACCGCAUUUUCUCACUCAUAGGUGAGAAUUGAACAAUGAGAACACAUGGACACAGGAAGGGGAACAUCACACACCGGGCCUGCUGUGGGGUGGGGGGAGGGGGGAGGGAUAGCAUUAGGAGAUAUAACUAAUGCUAAAUGAUGAGUUAAUGGGUGCAGCACACCAGCAUGGCACAUGUAUACAUAUGUAACAAACCUGCACAUUGUGCACAUGUAUCCUAAAACUUAGAGUAUAAUAAUAAUAAUAAAAGAAAGGAACAGAAAUGUUUAAACCUCCCCCUUGACUAGAAGUAAUUAAGUAACUAAAUUACAAAUACACACACUUACAUCUGGGGAGGUUAAACUGAUUUUAUGAAUUGUAUAAAUGACAAGGAUUCAUACUCUGGCUUUUCAGGUUUUCUUUUUUUUUUAUAAGAAAGCCCAUCAUUUAACAGUAAAUAGAGGUUUUCUAGUGUGUCAAAUGGGGAUAUGGUCAGAUUAAUGGCGAAUUCAAUGCUAUGCAUGUUUUUACCCUAUCUCUUUUUAUUUUUGCAAGAUGUGGACACCUUUUAAAUGCAUUAGUUUCUUCCUGCAUUGUACAAAGCAAAUAAAUAGGUUCUUUAAAUUCCAACCAGUCAAUAAUUGAAAUAUAUGCACAAAAAGUAUAUGUAUAAAAACACAUGUAAACUGAUCAAGUGUCCUAAAAACACAUUUAAAAUAAAAAUACAAAGUUAGAAGUUUAGCACUUAACUGAAUAUAUGUUAAUAUGCAUUAUAAAAAUAGUAAACUCAUAUAACAGAGAUAGUAUAGCUUGAAAAUUAAGGACUAAAGUCAGAAUGCUCUUUUUCAGCUCCCCAAUACUCCUAUUUAUUUGCAAUGUAACUUUUGAUAAACUUCUCAAACUCUUUAAAACUUAGGUUCCUCAACUGCAAAAUGGAAGGAAACUAAUCACUAACUCAAACAUUUGUUUUAGUGAUUAAAUAAAAUAUAGUAAAAAGUUUUUAGUAGAAUACUCAGGAUAUAAAAUUCUAUAAAUAAUUACCAAAUAGAAUUUGGUUGCGAAAUGGUCACAAAGAUAAUUGCAGAGAAUACUGGAAAAAUAAUUGACAAAAAUUUAUAUAUUAUUUAAAAGAUUGAAGUUUACAAUGCAUGCAGAAAAAUGCAUAAAGUCAUUAUAAAAUUGAGGUGUUAAUGUGAUUUUUACUACACAAGUUGGAAUAACUGCAUAAUUUCAAAUAUAAUAAAUUGUUAGUCAUCAAUUUGAAAAGAUUUUAUGAAAAAAGCCAUGAUUUUAUGACACAGAAUCUAUAUGUUGUAUAGAAAGCAUGAAUUAUAUUUCAUUUUAGUUAUGGUCUCUCUUUUCUUGAUAUAAUUAACAUUUAAAAUAUGUUUUCAAGGGUAUAUUGUUCAAUGUCACUAUAAAUAAUUUAUGUUAAUAGAAAAGCAGAAAUUAAAAAUGUGAUAGCCAAUAUUUUGGGUACAGCAACUUUCAUGACAAUCAUUUCUUUUGAAUAUAUCUGCUAUAAAUACAAAUUGAUACAAAGUAAGCAUGAUAAACUGUCAUGAAUUUUAAACUAUUUAAUUAUCAUCAUUAUAAUUGCCAUGAAUUAUUGUACACUCACCAUUUACCGAGAAUUUCUGUGUUAUUUUUUACUUUGUGUGUUUUUUAUUGUGUAUAUUUAAGGUGUACAACAUGAUGUUUUGAUAUGCAAGUAGAUAAUGAAAUGAUUACUAUAGGUAAACACAUUCACACAUCCAUCACCUUCCAUAGUAAUGUCUCAUUGUACAUGUGUGCACGUGUGUCUGUGUGUUAACAGUACCUAAAAUCUACAUUUUAUCAAAUUUUCAGUAUAAAAUACAAUAUGAUGCAAUAUUCUUUAUACAUUACGUAAAAAUGUAGACCAAGGGUAGAUUCACAAAUUAUGCAUCUGACAAAGGUUUAAUAUCUAGAAUCUAUAAGGAGCUUAAACAAUUGAACAAGCAAAAUACAAAUAACCCCAUUAAAAAUGGGCACUUCUCAAAAGACACUUCUGAAAAGAAGACAUACAAGUGGCCAAGAAACAUAUGAAACAAUGCUCCACAUCACUAAUCAUCAGAGAAAUGCAAAUCAAAACCACAAUGAAAUACCAUCCCAUUUUCUGUUACUAUUAGAAAAUAAAAAAUAACAGAUGCUGGUGAGGCUUUGGAUAAAAGGGAAAGCUUAUAUACUGUUGUUGGGAAUAUAAAUUAGUUCAGUCCCUGUGGAAGGCAGUUUGGAGAUUUCUCAAAGAACUUAAAACAGAACUACCAUUUCACCCAGCCAUCCCACUCCUGGGUUUAUAUACCCAAAGGAAAAAAAAAAUUUAUCAAAAAGACACAUGUAUUUGUAUGUUAAUUGCAGAGCUAUUCACAAUAAUAAAGACAUGGAAUCAACCAAGGUGCCCAUCAAUGGUGGAUUGGAUAAAGAAAAUAUGGUACAUAUAUACCAUGGAAUAAUACACAGCCAUAAAAAGGAAAAAAAUUAUGUCAUUUGCAGCAACAUGGAUGGAACUGGAGGACACUGUCCUAAGCAAAUUAAUGCAGGAACAAGAAAGAAAUAUAGCAUGUUCUCACAUGUAAGUGGGAGUUAAGCCUUGGGGACUGAUGAAUAUAAAGAUGUUAGCAGUAUAGACUGGGGGAUACUACACAGGGAAAUGAUGAAGCGGGGCAUGGACUGAAAAACUACCUAUUGGGUACUAUGCUGACCAUCUGGGUGAUGGAACCAUCCAUAUCACAAACCUCAGCAUCAUGCAAUAUACUCAUGCAGCAACCCUGAAAAUUUAACCCCUGAAUCCAAAAUGAAAAAUAAAUAUAUAUAUAUUUGUACUUAUUAUAAGUGAAAAUAUACUUAAUAUUUUCAGAUCAUUUAUUGGUUGUAUUUAUAAGUAAAAUUGACUUUUGUACAUUGAAAAAAAAGAAAAUGUGGUCUAUAUACAACAUGGUAUACUAUGCAGCCAUUAAAAAAACCUUGUUAUUUGCAGUGACAUGAAUGAAAUUAGAGGCCAUUAUCAUAAGAUAAUUAAAGCACAAAUAGAAAACCAAAUACCACAUAUUCUCACUUAUAAGUGGGAGCUAAAUAUUGAGUUCUCAUGGGCAUAAAGAGGACCAUAGUAGAAACUGGGGACUACUAGAGGAGGAAGAGAGAAAGGGGGAACAAGUGUUGAAAAGCUACCUACUGGGUGAUAAGAUCAUUGGUACCCAAGCCUCAGCAUCAUGCAAUACACCCAGGUAACAAACGUGCACAUGUACCCGCUGAAGCUGAAAUAAAAGUUGAAAGAAAAACGCAGAUAAAAAAAUGUCCUUUUUCUCUUUAUAUAUAUAUAUUUUUAUUAUACUUUGAGUUCUAGGGUACAUGUGCACAACGUGCAGGUUUGUUACAUAUGUAUACAUGUGCCAUGUCGGUGUGCUGCACCCAUUAACUCGUCAUUUACAUUAGGUAUAUCUCCUAAUGCUAUCCUUCCCCUCUCCCCACACCCCACAACAGGCCCCGGUGUGUGAUGUUCCCCUUCCUGCGUCCAAGUGUUAUCAUUGUUCAAUUCCCACCUAUGAGUCAGAACAUGCGGUGUUUGGUUUUUUGUCCUUGCAAUAGUUUGCUGAGGAUGAUGGUUUCCAGCUUCAUCCAUGUCCCUUAAAGCAGAUUAAUGUAUAAAACAGUCUUCGAACUAACUUGGACUUACAAAUUUGCACAUUUUCUUUUAAGAGCAUUUCAUAUUUUCUACUUUACUUCCGAAUUUUCAAGCUGAGAAAUUUUGUUUAUAAUUUUAUUUUCUGUGGAUUUUAUAAGGCACUACAAGAUCACUGUAGAUUAAAAAUUAAAUAGUAAACAGUCCCUAACUUCAAGUUGUUCAUAAUUUAUCACAGGCACUGAGGUGGAUGCCUAAAUGGCAUACUCAUAUACAGGAGAGAGGUCAGAGGCCAGUCUAGCAACUGAAUUUUGUGGAUUUGUCAGUAAGAAUUAGAAAAGUAGUUGUGAUGUUCAUGACAAUAGGGUGAAAGAAAGAUGUAAAAGAUGUCAUGUGAAGACUGAAAAGUAUUUUCCUUUUUGAGUUAGACACAAUAGUAUGUAGUCUUUUUCAGUCUGUUUUAAAGCCCUUAGGCAUGAACAGUAAUGUAUUCAGGAUCUGUGGAACAGGUAACAUAGUGAACUGCCAGAGCGAGGAGAACCAAGAAGUGGAAAAGAGCAGUGAACUAAGUAAAUCCUUAGAUCUAUGUCAUCUCAAAUUGGCAAAUUUGCUGAUAUUGUGAUUGACUUAAGUAUCAAUAAUAUCAACAAAAAUAUUGGUAGUUCAUCUAAAUUUUAAAAUUCAGGUUUUUCUGUUGUUUUCUUUAAAUAUCUAAGUCAGUUCCCCACUUACUGCCCAUGGCAAUUCAAAUUCCCUGAUUAACACUGGAGCUUUUUGCAAGAUUUGAAAAUCUUUCUCAAGAUCAUAGUUUAUUCAACCUUUGUUUUGAAUUUUUCAAGUAAUUCAAACCUCACAACCAUAUUAUGCUAUUAUUAAUAACCAUUUUAAAGAAACUGAGGAAGGGAUAUUGAAAUAGCUUCUCAGAUCUAUCCAACUAUUAAUAUUAAGUAAUGUGAAAAAGAAUAAAACCCAGAAUGUCUAAAUUAUUUAAUAUCUAUUUUUAAAAUAAAGUCCUGAGUUAUUCCAGAAUAAAUUAUUUAACCUAGUCCUAAGAUUAAAAUUUUUGUUUUGAAAUCUCACAUAUUUGAAGGACACGUGACUUUUUUACACCACAUUGUCUGAAUUAAUUAGCAAAGGUAUUGCAAGCAAACCAACAGCAUAAUAGUGAACACUUCCUCAUAUCUUAAAAAAUCAAAUUCUAUAGACUUUCUAAACUAUGAAAAAUUUACAUUUGUCAUUCAACAAACUUAUUCUGUGUCAGUACCUGUUUCAUCCAUUUAGAUGCAACAGUGUAUGAAAACAGACAAAGAUUUCUGUUCUUAAAAGUUUACAAAGAGGAGAGCCUGCCAAUAUAAAAAUGAAUAUAUAAAUUUUGAAGUAUGCAAGAAAUUAAUCAAUACUAUAAAGAAAUAGUAGAGCAAGGAAAGCAUUUUUAAUACUAUCUAGAAUUUUCAAAUCUUCUUAUGGUUUAAAGUAUAGUCAUGAUACUCUCUUGGGUAAAGUGAGUAGGGCUGGUAGGUGCCUGCAUGUAUGCAUGUGUGUGUGUGAAUAACUGUGUAUUGCUAUUUAGAAGAGUUAGGGUGGUCAAACUCUAAAAAGAUUCACAUUGAAAUAGUCAUCUUCUAAAAGGUCACAUGAUAUGUUACCUUAGCUAUUUUUUUUAUACUUGAAAUACCUUGGGCAGUAACAACUCUUCCCAAAUUUGAUUUAAAUGAUAAAAAGAAAGAUCAGUGAAUGACUAUAGUUAUAAAAAAUGUCUAUAACAACUGUCAGCAAUCUCCAGCAAUUUAUGGUACUCUUUGUAAGCGAAAUGACUUUAUUAUAGAGCAAGAGUGGAGCCUUUUCACUUUCAAAGUUACCUACAUCUAGCUGCAAUUGUUGGUAGGAUUAAGCCUCAUCAAAAAUAAAAUUGGGAGUAAGGAAAAAUCCUAGAAAUCAAAGUUGCAAAAAAGACUAGAAUAGAAAACUGAUCACACUUUGGAAGUUACUCUGACUAAACACUGAAAAACAAAAUGCCUUUUUAAUACUUAUUAUUAUCAUUAACUUUGGAAAGAGAAAGGAUCCUAAGUUAAUUUAACCGUUAGUCAAUUUUACAUGAAUACAUAAUACCCUAAAUAAAUAUCUUGUUCAUUAGGUAAGCAUAUAGUUUUAUGAUAAAAUUUAAAAUCUAUGCUUCUAUUAUGAUUCAAAUUUACACAAAUUUAUUUGGAAGACACAGUCAUAUUAUUUUUAUUUUCUAUAAAAGUUUUGGAAAAAAAUACACUAAAGAAAUACUGCAUUGUAAAAACCACUCUUGCCAUUAGAGAACAUGUAAGUGUUCUUUCAUGUAUAAGUAAUAAAGAAUCAACAUUUGCUGCUUUUGGAAACAAAAUGAAACAAGAGAGGAAAUAUGUCUAGCUUUUAGGGCAAUUUGGUAAUAUUUGAGAAACACAGCCUGACAACUCAAAGGGUAUUUUUUAAUGUUUAUGUAAAUGUAUACAUAUGCAUACAUGUGUACAUAUAAGUAUAUAUAUCCAACAUAUAAACAUGUAUGUAUGUAUACAUAUAUAGAUAUGUACACAUAUACAUAUGUAUGUAUACAUAUAUAGAUAUGUACACAUAUACGUAUGUAUACAUAUAUAGAUAUGUACACAAAUACAUAUGUAUGUAUACAUAUAUAGAUAUGUACACAUAUACAUAUGUAUGUAUACAUAUAUAGAUAUGUA
rnacentral:lncRNA from 10 species